rnacentral:rRNA from 1 species
GAUGAACGCUGGCGGCGUGCCUAAUACAUGCAAGUCGAGCGAACAGACGAGGAGCUUGCUCCUCUGACGUUAGCGGCGGACGGGUGAGUAACACGUGGAUAACCUACCUAUAAGACUGGGAUAACUUCGGGAAACCGGAGCUAAUACCGGAUAACAUGUUGAACCGCAUGGUUCAACAGUGAAAGACGGUUUUGCUGUCACUUAUAGAUGGAUCCGCGUCGCAUUAGCUAGUUGGUAAGGUAACGGCUUACCAAGGCAACGAUGCGUAGCCGACCUGAGAGGGUGAUCGGCCACACUGGAACUGAGACACUGUCCAGACUCCUACGGGAGGCAGCAGUAGGGAAUCUUCCGCAAUGGGCGAAAGCCUGACGGAGCAACGCCGCGUGAGUGAAGAAGGUCUUCGGAUCGUAAAACUCUGUUAUUAGGGAAGAACAAAUGUGUAAGUAACUAUGCACGUCUUGACGGUACCUAAUCAGAAAGCCACGGCUAACUACGUG